rnacentral:lncRNA from 1 species
GGCAAAAACAGAACUGAUAACACACACACACAUCCAAGAAUCAUCAGAGGCAUGGUCUCAUUACUUACCUGCGCAUGGUGGCCACAGGAGGUGAAACGUCGUCUGUCAGGCAUGGAAGUGCCUUACGUACUCCUUCCACCUUCGCUGGGGCUCUGAGCACGAUGCUAGGCACACAACUGCAGCAGUUCCCUCUUACCUGCGGUUUUGAUUUUGCUCUCAGAGGUUUCAGUUACCCACAGUCACCUGUGGUCCCAGAGCAGUGGCUCCUCCUUCUGACCAAUCAGAAGUCAGAGAACGUGGGCGGUCGCCUAAUGCUACGUCACAGCACGCACGUCACAACGCCCACCCACGUCGCAGCGCUCACGUCACAGCACUCACGUCGAAGCGCCUCCGUCACAGAGCCCAAGUCAGUGUCCACGUUGCAAGCACCCAAGUCACUCACAUCACUUGUCUUACCAGGCGGCUAUUUUAUCCUCUCACAGUAUCAUAGCAAGAAAGGGAUCUAACUAAUGCAAAACACAUAAGAAAUAAGAGGAAUGAAUAUUCAAAAAGAAGAGGCAGGACUCUCACCAUUUGCUGACAAGGAUGUAUUAGAGAAGAAUCACUCCCCACCUCCAAGAAAAAGAUUAGAAAAGGUAAAAUAUGUCAACAAGUAGCUUAUACAUAAGAUCAACCUACAAAAUCAAUUGCUUUUCUAAACACUGUCAAAAAUUUUUUAAAUGAAAAAAAUCAUGGUUAAAUAGCUACUACUACUAUGAAC